rnacentral:RNase_P_RNA from 1 species
GGUAAGAGCGCACCGGCGGCUUGGCAACUUGACCGUCAUGUAAACCCCAUCUGGUGCAAGAUAGAUGAAAGCAUAUGGACGGCCCGUCCCGCUUUCGUAAUCGCUUGAGCAUUCCGGCGACGGAAUGCCUAGAUAGAUGGCCAUUCCAGACAGAACUCGGCUUAUAGAUUGCGCUCAUCA